CCUACGGGCGGCAGCAGUAGGGAAUUUUGCGCAAUGGGCGAAAGCCUGACCCAGCAACGCCGCGUGAUUGAUUAAGGCCUUCGGGGUGUAAAGAUCUGUUAGUGGGGACGAAACUUGACGGUAGUCACAGAGGAUGCCCCGGCUAACUCCGUGCCAGCAGCCGCGGUAAUAUGGAGGGGGCAAGCGUUGUCCGGAUUUAUUGGGCGUAAGGGGUUCGUAGGUGGUUUAUUAAGUCUGUUGUGAAAUGCAGAAGCUCAACUGCUGUGGGGCACUGGAAACUGGUAGGCUUGGUUGCGGUAGAGGUGAGCGGAAUUCCUGGUGUAGCGGUGAAAUGCGUAGAUAUCAGGAGGAACAUCGGUGGCGAAGGCGGUUUACUGGGCUGUAAUUGACACUGAGGAACGAAAGCGGGGGUAGCAAAUAGGAUUAGAUACCCGAGUAGUC
rnacentral:rRNA from 1 species